GCAUCUGUAGCUCAGUUGGUUAGAGCACUGCACCGGAAUCGCAGGGCCGUAGGUUCAAUUCCUACCAGAGGAC